GAAAACUCCGGUGGUAAUGGAUGGGCAUGCGUUGUAUUAGUUAGUUGGUGGGGUAACGGCUCACCAAGACUACGAUACAUAGGGGGACUGAGAGGUUAACCCCCCACAUUGGUACUGAGACACGGACCAAACUCCUACGGGAGGCAGCAGUGAGGAAUAUUGGUCAAUGGACGCAAGUCUGAACCAGCCAUGCCGCGUGCAGGAAGACGGCUCUAUGAGUUGUAAACUGCUUUUGUACGAGGGUAAACGCAGAUACGUGUAUCUGUCUGAAAGUAUCGUACGAAUAAGGAUCGGCUAACUCCGUGCCAGCAGCCGCGGUAAUACGGAGGAUUCAAGCGUUAUCCGGAUUUAUUGGGUUUAAAGGGUGCGUAGGCGGUCGGAUAAGUUAGAGGUGAAAUCCCGGGGCUCAACUUCGGAAUUGCCUCUGAUACUGUUCGGCUAGAGAGUAGUUGCGGUAGGCGGAAUGUAUGGUGUAGCGGUGAAAUGCUUAGAGAUCAUACAGAACACCGAUUGCGAAGGCAGCUUACCAAGCUACUUCUGACGUUGAGGCACGAAAGCGUGGGGAGCAAACAGGAUUAGAUACCCUGGUAGUCCACGCAGUAAACGAUGAUAACUCGUUGUCGGCGAUACA
rnacentral:rRNA from 1 species